AGGCCUAGCUCCCUUCACUUUACCCAGCAGCUUGCAGCAGCUAGCUUUAGACUUACCUCCCUUCACUUUACUUAGCAGCUAGCAGCAGCUAGUUUCAGGCCUAGCUCCCUUGACUUUUCCCUGCAGCUAGCAGCAACUAGCUUCAGACUUAGCUCCCUUCACUUUACCCAGCAGCCAGCAGCAGCUAAUUUCAGGCUUAGCUCCCUUGACUUUACCCAGGAGCUAGCAGCAGCUAGCCUUAGGCUUAGCUCCCUUGACUUUACCGAGCAGCUAGCUGCAGCUAGCUUUAGGCUUAGCUCCCUUCACUUUACCCAGAAGUGGCGAAACAGACACGGAACUGUCUGUGUGGUGUUUAUUGCUAAAGCGAGAGGGGUCUGGCUGCAGAGCUCCACUGUGGAGGUAGUUCUGGUGCAGGCUCCACUUUCAGAUCACCUCCAUCAUAGGCUCACCCCCCUCCAACUCCACCUGGGAGACCACUACACGAAGAAGAACAGAUUGAAUGCAUAAGACUCCACAACCGUGUUUUAGAAAACUUUUGCAGUCACUAAAUCCUGGAUAACUGAAAAGAGUUGGUUUGCAAAUACAGUGCUGGGGUUUUCCAGAACAACCAUGAGAGAAAGACUGUGGCAUCUUUAUGCUCCAGGUGAGAUACAUUACCUGUCUGGAUAAAUUC